rnacentral:lncRNA from 12 species
AUGACGCAAGCCAGGCCCUCUGUCUGCCCAUCGGGCACCAGGGUCGUGGCCUUGGAACAGAAAGCGUGGACGGUGAGAGGAGCAGCCGGAGGCAGACCCCGAAGAAAUCCCGCUCCAGGAAAGGGGGCUUCACUGCCCACGGGCCUGGGGACGCAGCCAAGGGACAGGAAGGGACAGGAAGGCGGCUCUGCAGAGAAACAAAAUCUAAGCAGGCCCGUCCCAUCCCGAGACCGGCACACGCACCGCAUCUGCCCACAGCAGGACCCUCACCUGGGGCUCUCACCCUGCAGCCCUCACCUGGGGCUCUCACCCUGUAGGACCCUCACCCGGGGUCUCAGCCGGAGUGUCCAGCUCCUCUGCCAUCUGCCACGGGAUGUCAGUCUGAAACCACAGGAGGCCGGCGCCCGCGGGGCAGAGGCACACAUGUCACCAGCCUCUGGGUGGACCAGCCCCAGGUGGUUCUGGGAAUUUGGAGGCCAGCCGAGCUCAAGGAGAUGCAGAGGUAUUCUUUGGAAGGGGAGUGUAUUGGGAGGAGGCAGCCCGGAGCACUUUCUCCCUCCGCUGUUUUCUCACCUUGCUCACCCUUCACCUCCCCAGACGGGUGGGGGGCGGGUGAGGGGCGCCUCUCCGGGCUGUCUGCGGGGGCCCUGUGCUUAA